UGGUAGGUCAUCCCUCGCACGGGACGAUUCUUUUUCUCUCCCUCUCUCACUUUCCACCCCAACCUAGGGUUGCCGCCGCCGCCGCCGCCGCCCCUGCCCCCAUCGCUUCUCUAACGCUGCCCAUCAGAGGACAGCCGUUUCUCUGCUGCUUCUUCUCUCGCCCUGCUCCAUCCCGACCAGCGCCACUGCCGCCCCUUUUCUCUCGUCUACGGGCGAGCCGUCACCGGUGAGGUGAGACGUCGUCUCCCGGCCAGGACAUAGCGGCAGAGAGGAGCAAGGAAGCAGCAGGGGAAGUCCAAUUGGAAAAGUUAGUGGCGCUACAGAUUUCUUGCUCCCUUGGUCGACGGGGGAUGCGGUUUUCGUUGGUGGUGGUAGGAGGGGAACAUGUGUGGCGGUGACGGGAGGACCAUCAGAAGAAGAGGAGGAUAGGGAACAGGGAACGAGGCCAAGCGGGGGAGGAGAGACAUGAAGCAUUCAUUUGCUGCCGUUUCUCCACGUAAUCUGAUUCUCCGUCAUGUUUGCCGGGCACUUCUAUUAUCUCCACCCCGUCCCACUGAGGUGCCUCCAUCGCUAUCAAUCUCACAUCGAGAUGUCGACGGCAAUUCCAUCAUACCCGGUGUGAAGAAAUAAGUAAGAUGGACUGACCUAGCCCAUUAAAGCACUGGCCCGUCUAUCCUAUUCUUCUCUUAUUAAAACCUGCCGUGUGUGCACAGUCGACAAAAUUUAUAGGGAUCCUCCUCGCACUGCCUCUCUCCCUCUUCCUCUUCCUUGCUGCACCCAUGGCAACAAGCCAGCAAAGCUCGAUUUCACGCUGGAGAAUCUCAACCCCUUGACGGAAUCGAUCGAUUUCUCGUCCGAAUGGUCAAAUCCUUAUCAGGGAGGUCAAAUCCUUGCCAGGGAGAUUGACGGAGAAUGCUGAUUUCUUACUGGUCGCCUUUUUGAGCACCUAGGGCCAGUGCGACAUUAUGCCAGCGUGCCAACGCCCAGCGUUUAAGCACACCUAGGCAAGCGCCUAACAACACUUUUUUAACUAUGGUGCGGACAAUCUAAUACCAAAGGACUUGGCCCUCAAAAUUGCAACCCAGAUUAGAGCUGGCGAAUGAUUUGCAGUUUAUGUAGUCAUACCAAUGUGUCCUGAAGGAAUCCCUACCUCAGCCUCUGAGCAAGAUUUUUUUCUUUUAGGCACAUUCGGGCAUGAUGGGAUUCCGGUCCACUCUUCUGGCAAGACCCUCCUGGUGAACGAGCGUGGCGUCCUCAUGGAGAGCCUGCAAAUGGGGGAAUUUUACUACCUAAUUCUUCGCUUCUUGUGCUGCAUCCAACAAGAUGAAUGAUUCUAAUGAACAAGUACUCAUAUCGAUCUAAUUAAUCAGCUCCAUAUCUAGCCGGUUAGAAGAAUGAGGGUUUCUGUAUAUGUAUGAAAGGAAACCAAGGAAGCUUGCAUUUCUGAUCAAGCUUCAAUGAGUGCUAGUGUUCUUGCUUUCCAUGUUGAUGUAUGUUACCUCUGGAUGAAUCGUCUUCCUGCCGAGAGUUUCCUCUUUCAGUGUUGGAGAUGUUGUAGCAGCUUACAAUUACUAGGAGAAAUAAGUUACCAAAUCAUUCUGGUUGCAUCUAAUUGGUUUUAGGAAUGUCCUGAUCAGUUUCACGUGCAUGUGUGAACAUAUACGUAAAUAAAA